CCUACGGGGGGCAGCAGUGAGGAAUAUUGGUCAAUGGACGAGAGUCUGAACCAGCCAAGUAGCGUGAAGGAUGACUGCCCUAUGGGUUGUAAACUUCUUUUAUAUGGGAAUAAAAUGUUCCACGUGUGGGAUUUUGUAUGUACCAUAUGAAUAAGGAUCGGCUAACUCCGUGCCAGCAGCCGCGGUAAUACGGAGGAUCCGAGCGUUAUCCGGAUUUAUUGGGUUUAAAGGGAGCGUAGGUGGAUUGUUAAGUCAGUUGUGAAAGUUUGCGGCUCAACCGUAAAAUUGCAGUUGAAACUGGCAGUCUUGAGUACAGUAGAUGUGGGCGGAAUUCGUGGUGUAGCGGUGAAAUGCUUAGAUAUCACGAAGAACUCCGAUUGCGAAGGCAGUUCACUGGACUGCAACUGACACUGAGGCUCGAAAGUGUGGGUAUCAAACAGGAUUAGAUACCCUUGUAGUC
rnacentral:rRNA from 1 species